ensembl:Y_RNA Y_RNA Y RNA
AGUUGGUCGGAGGGUUGUGGGUUAUUGUUAAACUGAUUAACGUUGUCUCCCCCCACAGCCAUGCUUGAUUCGCUUUGU